UAAAAGCCAAGCUUGUGCGCAUGCGUGCUGAAGUACUUCCUUCCCAGUCCAGCAAGCAAGACUAAGAGCGAAGAUUUGAAUUGGAAUUUAAACUAUUUCACUGCCUGCGAUGAGGUGGCGACUUGUCCAGGGUGUACCCCGCCUUCCGCCCGAUUGUAGCUGAGAUAGGCGCCAGCGACCCCAAAAGGAAAUAAGCGGUAGAAAUGGAUGGAUGGACUAUUUCACUGCAAAGAAAACCAUAAAGAAAUUGGAGACAGUGGAGGAACUACUCGACCUUGACGAGUUGAUUAAAAACUCAACCAAGCAAGAAAGAUUUGCUGACAGCCAGGCUCUCAAAGAUUGGUGGAUAUGACUUAAAGAGCUGUUUAAGCACCAUCAUGGACAGGCUCAUGACAAAUGAGUUAAUGUCCAAUCCGAACAUGAAGGGGAGAGGGGGAAAAAAAAUAGCUUUGCCGAGACGAACCUGCUCGAUUUAGUCACAGCUAGUGUCUUGGAUACCCAGAAGGGGACCGAAACGAUCGUCCAUGAUGCCAUGAAAAAUAAACUGAAAUAUGCCCCUGGACGGAAGGGAGGAAUAGGAUGGGCAUCACAGGCUAAAUAAAUGAUUAUAUUGAU